rnacentral:rRNA from 1 species
UACGUAGGGCGCAAGCGUUGUCCGGAAUCAUUGGGCGUAAAGCGCGUGUAGGCGGUUCGGUAAGUCCGCUGUGAAAGUCGGGGGCUCAACCCUCGGAUGCCGGUGGAUACUGUCGGGCUAGAGUGCGGAAGAGGCGAGUGGAAUUCCUGGUGUAGCGGUGAAAUGACGCAGAUAUCAGGAGGAACACCAAUUGCGAAGGCAGCUCGCUGGGACGUAACUGACGCUGAGACGCGAAAGCGUGGGGAGCAAACAGG